UACGUAGGGGGCUAGCGUUGUCCGGAUUUAUUGGGCGUAAAGGGCUCGUAGGUGGCCAACUAAGUCAGACGUGAAAUCCCUCGGCUUAACCGGGGAACUGCGUCUGAUACUGGAUGGCUUGAGUUUGGGAGAGGGACGCGGAAUUCCAGGUGUAGCGGUGAAAUUCGUAGAUAUUCGCAAGAACACCAGUGGCGAAGGCGGCUCACUGGUCCGGUACUGACGCUGAGGUGCGAAAGCGUGGGGAGCAAACAGG
rnacentral:rRNA from 1 species